rnacentral:rRNA from 1 species
AGAGUUUGAUCAUGGCUCAGAUUGAACGCUGGCGGCAGGCCUAACACAUGCAAGUCGAACGGUAGCACAGAGAGCUUGCUCUUGGGUGACGAGUGGCGGACGGGUGAGUAAAGUCUGGGAAACUGCCUGAUGGAGGGGGAUAACCACUGGAAACGGUGGCUAAUACCGCAUAAUCUCGCGAGAGCAAAGUGGGGGACCUUAAUGGCCUCACGCCAUCGGAUAUGCCCAGAUGGGAUUAGCUUGUUGGUGGGGUAAAGGCUCACCAAGGCGACGAUCCCUAGCUGGUCUGAGAGGAUGACCAGCCACACUGGAACUGAGACACGGUCCAGACUCCUACGGGAGGCAGCAGUGGGGAAUAUUGCACAAUGGGCGCAAGCCUGAUGCAGCCAUGCCGCGUGUGUGAAGAAGGCCUUCGGGUUGUAAAGCACUUUCAGCGGGGAGGAAGGUGGUGUGGUUAAGAGCCAUAUCAAUUGACGUUACCCGCAGAAGAAGCACCGGCUAACUCCGUGCCAGCAGCCGCGGUAAUACGGAGGGUGCAAGCGUUAAUCGGAAUUACUGGGCGUAAAGCGCACGCAGGCGGUCUGACAAGUCAGAUGUGAAAUCCCCGGGCUUAACCUGGGAACUGCAUUUGAAACUGUCAGGCUGGAGUCUUGUAGAGGGGGGUAGAAUUCCAGGUGUAGC